CAUUUUUUUUUUUGUUUUUUUUUGUUCUUUUUUCCAAAACUUUUAUUAAAAAAAAAAAAAAAUCAUUCAAAAAUUAAAAAAAAAAUUAAAAAAACCAAAAUUACUU
rnacentral:ribozyme from 1 species